CUGUCUUAGUGGCGGACGGGUGAGUAACGCGUGGCAACCUGCCCUGUACCGGGGGAUAACACUUAGAAAUAGGUGCUAAUACCGCAUAAUAGGGAAUACCGCAUGGUAAUCCUUUGAAAACUCCGGUGGUACAGGAUGGGCCCGCGUCUGAUUAGCCAGUUGGCGGGGUAACGGCCCACCAAAGCGACGAUCAGCAGCCGGCCUGAGAGGGUGGACGGCCACACUGGGACUGAGACACGGCCCAGACUCCUACGGAAGGCAGCAG
rnacentral:rRNA from 1 species